GAGAGUUUGAUCCUGGCUCAGGAUGAACGCUAGCUACAGGCUUAACACAUGCAAGUCGAGGGGCAGCAUGGUCUUAGCUUGCUAAGGCCGAUGGCGACCGGCGCACGGGUGAGUAACGCGUAUCCAACCUGCCUUACACUCUUGGACAGCCUUCUGAAAGGGAGAUUAAUACAAGAUGUUAUCAUGAGUAAGCAUUUUCGCAUGAUUAAAGGUUUACCGGUGUAAGAUGGGGAUGCGUUCCAUUAGAUAGUAGGCGGGGUAACGGCCCACCUAGUCUUCGAUGGAUAGGGGUUCUGAGAGGAAGGUCCCCCACAUUGGAACUGAGACACGGUCCAAACUCCUACGGGAGGCAGCAGUGAGGAAUAUUGGUCAAUGGACGAGAGUCUGAACCAGCCAAGUAGCGUGAAGGAUGAAGGUUCUAUGGAUUGUAAACUUCUUUUAUACGGGAAUAAACGGAUCCACGUGUGGAUUUUUGCAUGUACCGUAUGAAUAAGGAUCGGCUAACUCCGUGCCAGCAGCCGCGGUAAUACGGAGGAUCCGAGCGUUAUCCGGAUUUAUUGGGUUUAAAGGGAGCGUAGAUGGGUUGUUAAGUCAGUUGUGAAAGUUUGCGGCUCAACCGUAAAAUUGCAAUUGAUACUGGCAGUCUUGAGUACAGUUGAGGUAGGCGGAAUUCGUGGUGUAGCGGUGAAAUGCUUAGAUAUCACGAAGAACUCCGAUUGCGAAGGCAGCUUACUAACCUGUAACUGACAUUGAUGCUCGAAAGUGUGGGUAUCAAACAGGAUUAGAUACCCUGGUAGUCCACACGGUAAACGAUGAAUACUCGCUGUAGGCGAUAUACAGUCUGCGGCCAAGCGAAAGCAUUAAGUAUUCCACCUGGGGAGUACGCCGGCAACGGUGAAACUCAAAGGAAUUGACGGGGGCCCGCACAAGCGGAGGAACAUGUGGUUUAAUUCGAUGAUACGCGAGGAACCUUACCCGGGCUUAAAUUGCAACCGAAUAUGGCGGAAACGCUAUAGCUAGCAAUAGCGGUUGUGAAGGUGCUGCAUGGUUGUCGUCAGCUCGUGCCGUGAGGUGUCGGCUUAAGUGCCAUAACGAGCGCAACCCUUGCCGAUAGUUACUAACAGGUUAUGCUGAGGACUCUGUCGGGACUGCCAUCGUAAGAUGUGAGGAAGGUGGGGAUGACGUCAAAUCAGCACGGCCCUUACGUCCGGGGCUACACACGUGUUACAAUGGGGGGUACAGAGGGCUGCUACCACGCAAGUGGAUGCCAAUCCCAAAAACCUCUCUCAGUUCGGAUUGAAGUCUGCAACCCGACUUCAUGAAGCUGGAUUCGCUAGUAAUCGCGCAUCAGCCACGGCGCGGUGAAUACGUUCCCGGGCCUUGUACACACCGCCCGUCAAGCCAUGGGAGCCGGGGGUACCUGAAGUGCGUAACCGCAAGGAGCGCCCUAGGGUAAAACUGGUGACUGGGGCUAAGUCGUAACAAGGUAGCCG
rnacentral:rRNA from 1 species